rnacentral:rRNA from 1 species
GACGAACGCUGGCGGCAUGCCCUAACACAUGCAAGUCGAACGGCUCUUCGGAGCAGUGGCGCACGGGUGAGUAACGCGUGGGAACCUACCCCCGAGGUACGGAAUAACGGCUGGAAACGGCCGCUAAUACCGUAUGUGUCCUAAGGGAGAAAGAUUUAUCGCCUUGGGAGGGGCCCGCGUCCGAUUAGCUAGUUGGUGAGGUAAUGGCCCACCAAGGCAGUGAUCGGUAGCUGGUCUGAGAGGAUGAUCAGCCACACUGGGACUGAGACACGGCCCAGACUCCUACAGGAGGCAGCAGUGGGGAAUAUUGGACAAUGGGCGCAAGCCUGAUCCAGCAAUGCCGCGUGUGUGAUGAAGGCCCUAGGGUUGUAAAGCACUUUCGCCGAUGACGAUGAUGACGGUAGUCGGAUAAGAAGCCCCGGCUAACUCCGUG